ensembl:misc_RNA 7SK 7SK RNA
GAAUGUGAGGGUGAUCUGGCUGCAACAUCUGUCACCCUAUUGAACGCUAGGGUUGAUUCGGUUGAUCUGGCCGAAUAGGCGGGUGUCCCCUUCCUCCCUCACCGCUCCUCAUGCAUCCCUCCCAAAGCUGCACGUUCCAUCCCAGAAGAUGACCUUCUCUGACAGAGGAGGACGAUUCUUCCGUAAGGAUCUAUGAGUAGCUGCUCUCUCCUGCUAGAACUUCCAAACAAACUCUCAAGAAGUGAGGCACAGAGAAGAGCCAUUUGAUCAUGGUUCACAAGCACAUAUUUAUCACCUGAGGGUACAUUCUUU